GGAGAUGUAACUCAGAGGUAGAAUACAGGUUUGACACACCAGGCCGUGGGUUCAAUUCCCAACACUCCCU
rnacentral:tRNA from 1 species